rnacentral:rRNA from 1 species
AAGCGUUGUCCGGAUUUAUUGGGCGUAAAGAGCGUGUAGGCGGCUAGGUAGGUCCGUUGUGAAAACUCGAGGCUCAACCUCGAGACGCCGAUGGAAACCAUCUAGCUAGAGUCCGGAAGAGGAGAGUGGAAUUCCUGGUGUAGCGGUGAAAUGCGCAGAUAUCAGGAAGAACACCCGUGGCUAAGGCGGCUCUCUAGUACGGUACUGACGCUGAGACGCGAAAGCGUGGGGAGCGAACAGGAUUAGAUACCCUGGUAGUCCACGCCGUAAACGAUGGGUGCUAGGUGUGGGAGGUGUCGACUCCUUCCGUGCCGAAGCUAACKCAUUAAKCACCCCSCCUGGGGAGUACGGCCGCAAGGCUA